CCUGACAGUUGGCUGAUACACAGGCUGUUCCCGUAAGAGUCUUUACACAGGGACCAUGAAGGGAUGUGGAGAGUGAAGAUUUGUCCGCUACUGGCCAGCUAUCAGCUACUCACGCUACUUCGGAAUUCUGCACUCUGACUUUCACGAGCAUAGUCUGCUGUGUUUCCUAUUUAGACGCUCAGUGCACCAGAGUGCACAGAGACUGACUCACCUCUACCUCCUCAUCCCACCUUCAAAUAUCCACAUG